CAGAAGGAACAAUAUGUGAUGCUGAUCUUGUGAUUACUGUUGCUGGUGAUGUCAUACUUGCAUGGGCUAACCAUUUGUUCGAUAACUUGAUUCCCAUUGUAAGGUGUUAAGUCGGAUCGUAUUUGUUCUGAUGAGGCAAAGCAUGCAAUAGCUCGUUUAUCCCUGUUUACCUUGGCACCGGAUUGAUGGACCACUAUAUACGCAUGGAAAUAAAUAAGUGUGUAUUCUACGGAUAAUAUUUGUAUUGUAUGAAUCUCAAAUUGGCCUGGGAUGGCAAUUGCUUUAACCCAUCUCUCAUGUUAUUUUGCGGAUUUUAAUAUGCUCAGGUGUCAUUUUAAUUUUAUCAUAUAGUUGAGUACCUCCUUUCUCUUCCCUUCAACAAUGCAGCGCCAGAGUCUGAGCUUGUAACCGGGAUACUAUUAUUAGUUCGUAGGCAUGGACAGUUUCAGCCUUUUAAGUCUAUACCUGAACCUGUAACUAUUGAAAGUAUGUUUCUUGGGUUAUCUACGAAGUAUACCUUUAGCCGAAGGGUUACAACAUGAAUGCUCAUGCUGGCAGAAUCACUAUUGCAGGUGUAGAGGCGACAAGCAGAGGCCACCCAGAACGCUGCCAUGGCGCCUGCUAUCUUGUUUCUAGAGAAUGAGAUGUCCAUCAGUUCGAUAGACUAGAAUCACAAAUCAUGGCAUGCUGAACUAAGUGUCUCAGGCAGUACAUGUAGAGCAGGAGACAACACAUUUAUUUUGGAUAGUAGUGGAAUGGAGAUCAUCAAGUGACUUGGAAGUACUCAGCCUGAAAAUAUGACAGGGAUGUGCCCUCUUCUCCAUAUCUGCAUGAUGGCUCAAAGCACGCCACCAUGACCAGAUUGUUUCUCCACAACAACAAGCUAGACAGAUAAUGCUUUAGCUCCGUUGGCUCUGGUUUUAAUUUCCUUGGUAUGGCUGGCUCUGGUUUUAAGCUCUCCAAAGUUUCAUGAGAUGAUGCGCAAUGAAAAAAAAACUUUUGCAGUAUCUGCAGCACUUAAGAAUCAUGCUAUUAUGGUGCUUCACCUCCGCCUUCCCUCUAUAUGUUUGUAUCCAUUUUUGCGAGCAUGGCCGCUUACUCUGAUUUACGAAUGGGCAUGGAUGCAUGGGAAGCUGCUUUCAGUCUGUAGAAAACUCGUGUUACUCAAGGAUGGGGAUAUAAUUGAAGUGAGGUUUUCUCCACAUAUUACACGAAAUAAUUUACAAGUUGGCUACUACCUCCUGAGUCUGUACAUAAUGAGAGUGUGUGGUAGUAACUUGUGCUGUAAGUAUGAGUUUUGAUGCAAUAAAUUUAAGUUUGGAUCAAAUACUUGCAUCUCCUGAGUUUGUACAAUGUUAUUAUACCUUCUGUAAUAUACCUUCGCUAAAUUGCUGUAGAAUGUAAUACAAAUUCCACCACUUAGGUACUAUAAUAUACUUGUGGUUCUUACAAUACUGUCUCGCUACUGCCUUCAUGCCGGGGCGCAACGGGUCAUCUAAUCAAGUUUCUUUUGUUGUGAAUGACACUACCGUAUUUGGGGCACCAAGCAUGUUAAGCCCAAAUUGGUCAUGUGACCGAUCAAUGAAGUAAUGUUAGUUGUAAGAUUGAAUCGCUGAGCACGUUGGUUCCCUAUCACCC